rnacentral:rRNA from 1 species
AACGAACGCUGGCGGCAUGCCUAACACAUGCAAGUCGAACGAGACCUUCGGGUCUAGUGGCGCACGGGUGCGUAACGCGUGGGAACCUGCCCUUAGGUUCGGAAUAACUCCCCGAAAGGGGUGCUAAUACCGGAUAAUGUCUUCGGGCCAAAGAUUUAUCGCCUUUGGAUGGGCCCGCGUUGGUUUAGCCAGUUGGUAGGGUAAAAGCCUACCAUGGCGACGAUGCAUAGCUGGUCUGAGAGGAUGAUCAGCUACACUGGGACUGAGACACGGCCCAGACUCGUACGGGAGGCAGCAGUGGGGAAUAUUGGACAAUGAGCGAAAGCCUGGUACAGCAACGCCGCGUGAGUGAUCAAGGCCUUAGGGUUGUAAAGCUCUUUGACCCGAGAUGAUAAUGACAGUAACGGGAGAAUAAGCUCCGGCUAACUCCGUG